AAGUUUGAUCAUGGCUCAGGAUGAACGCUGGCGGCGUGCUUAACACAUGCAAGUCGAACGGGGAUAAGGGAAGCUUGCUUUCCUUAUCUUAGUGGCGGACGGGUGAGUAACGCGUGGAUAACCUGGCCCAUACAGGGGGAUAGCAGCUGGAAACGGCUGGUAAUACCGCAUAAGCGCACGGUACGGCAUCGUACAGUGUGAAAAACUCCGGUGGUAUGGGAUGGGUCCGCGUCUGAUUAGGCAGUUGGCGGGGUAAAGGCCCACCAAACCGACGAUCAGUAGCCGGCCUGAGAGGGUGGGCGGCCACAUUGGGACUGAGACACGGCCCAAACUCCUACGGGAGGCAGCAGUGGGGAAUAUUGCACAAUGGGGGAAACCCUGAUGCAGCGACGCCGCGUGGGUGAAGAAGUAUUUCGGUAUGUAAAGCCCUAUCANCAGGGAAGAUAGUGACGGUACCUGAGUAAGAAGCCCCGGCUAACUACAUGCCAGCAGCCGCGGUAAUACGUAAGGGGCAAGCGUUAUCCGG
rnacentral:rRNA from 1 species